UACGAAGGGGGCUAGCGUUGUUCGGAAUUACUGGGCGUAAAGCGAGUGUAGGUGGUUGUUCAAGUUGGAUGUGAAAGCCUUGAGCUCAACUCAAGAAAUGCAUUCAGGACUGAGCGACUAGAGGACCGGAGAGGAUAGUGGAAUUCCCAGUGUAGUGGUGAAAUACGUAGAGAUUGGGAAGAACACCAGUGGCGAAGGCGGCUAUCUGGACGGUUUCUGACACUAAGACUCGAAAGCGUGGGGAGCAAACAGG
rnacentral:rRNA from 1 species